ACCGAUAGUGAACUAGUACCGCGAGGGAAAGGCGAAAAGAACCCCUGCGAGGGGAGUGAAAUAGAUCCUGCAACCACUUGCCUACAAUGUGUCGAAGCGCCGCAAGGCGUGACGGCCUGCCUUUUGCAUAAUGAGUCUGCGAGUUAUUGUCCGUGGCCAGCGUAACCUUUUGGGAACGCGAAGCGAAAGCGAGUACGAAAUGUGCGGCCAGUCGCGGGCAAUAGACCCGAAGCGGAGGUGAUCUACUCUUGAGCAGGUUGAAACCAAGGUAACACUUGGUGGAGGACCGAACUCGUGAAUGUUGAAAAAUUCUGAGAUGACUUGAGGGUAGGAGCGAAAGACUAAUCAAACCCCGUGAUAGCUGGUUCUCCCCGAAAUCGCUUGAGGGCGAGCGUUGGAAGUAAACCGAGGAGGUAGAGCACUGGAUGGCUUAGGGUCCACACCAGGAUGCCAAAACCAAUCCAAACUCCGAAUUCCUCGGGAUCCAUUACCCCAGCAUUCAGACGGUGGGGAGUAAGCUCCAUCGUCGAGA
rnacentral:rRNA from 1 species